UACAGAGGUCUCCAGCGUUGUUCGGAUUCAUUGGGCGUAAAGGGUGCGUAGGCGGCGCGGUAAGUCGGGUGUGAAAUCUUGGAGCUUAACUCCGAAACUGCAUUCGAUACUGCCGUGCUUGAGGACUGGAGAGGAGACUGGAAUUUACGGUGUAGCGGUGAAAUGCGUAGAUAUCGUAAGGAAGACCAGUGGCGAAGGCGGGUCUCUGGACAGUUCCUGACGCUGAGGCACGAAGGUCAGGGGAGCAAACGGG
rnacentral:rRNA from 1 species